GGCCACCAAACGUAUACUCUCUCUCUAGAAUCUAGGGCUUGACUUUUAUCGAUUCUAUCAAACUUUCCCUCUCUAUUCUAUUAUAUGCAUCCAAACGCGACAUUUCCACUCCAUUUCAAUUCCUCUCCGGUUCUCUCUCUCCAAACAGGUAAAAGUUUUCUCUUCCCUCUGAUCCAAACGUCGUCGUCUCUGAAGUUCAUCCCCACCAGUAUUCUGAGCACAAUUCUCUUCAGAAGAAGAUGCGAUAAACGGCGUCGUCCCUUUACAGCUCGUUUUCCUCUGCUUGUUUUUUGUGUUUUGGAGAACGACUCAGAAUUGAGUUGAGUUCGUCUAGACUGAACAUGAAACACUGUUGAGCUGGUUCUUUGGUUUUGAGAAAAAGAAAAUUAAUCACGUCGUCGUUCCGGUGACGCGUUUUGACGUGAAAAAGGAGAUUUGGAUAUCAGUAUCUAGCGUUGGAUUGUUGUGCAGUUGAGACAACAAUGAGUACGCAAAUUUUGGAGAUUCAGCCCAAAGAAUUGAAAUUCUUAUUUGAAUUGAAGAAGCAAAGCUCAUGCUCAGUUGCGCUAACUAACAUGACCAACCGCCAUGUUGCUUUUAAGGUGCGUACUGCAU